rnacentral:rRNA from 1 species
CAGCCGCCGCGGUAAUACCAGCUCUCCGAGUGGUGUGGACGUUUAUUGGGCCUAAAGCAUCCGUAGCUGGCUGAACAAGUCCCCUGUUAAACCCACCGAUUUAAUCGUUGGCGUGCGGGGGAUACUGCUUGGCUAGGGGACGAGAGAGGCAGACGGUAUUCCCGGGGUAGGGGUGAAAUCCUAUAAUCCCGAGAAGACCACCAGUGGCGAAGGCUGUCUGCUUGAACGCGCCCGACGGUGAGGGAUGAAAGCUGGGGGAGCGAACCGGAUUAGAUACCCGGGUAGUCCCAGCUGGAAACGAUGCAGACUAGGUGUUUGGACGGCCACGUGCCGUUCUAGUGCCGCAGGGAAGCUGUUAAGUCUGCCGCCUGGGGAGUACGAUCGCAAGGUUGAAACUUAAAGGAAUUGGCGGGGGAGCACA